UGAGGAAUCUUGCGCAAUGGGGGCAACCCUGACGCAGCAACGCCGCGUGAGUGAGGAAGGUCUUCGGAUCGUAAAGCUCUGUCGGGUGGGAAGAAACGUAUGGAAGCUAAUACCCUUCAUACUUGACGGUACCACCAAAGGAAGCACCGGCUAACUCCGUGCCAGCAGCCGCGGUAAUACGGGGGGUGCAAGCGUUGUUCGGAAUCAUUGGGCGUAAAGGGCGUGUAGGCGGCUUGGUAAGUCAGAUGUGAAAGCCCUGGGCUUAACCCAGGAAGUGCAUUUGAAACUGUCAGGCUUGAGUAGGGGAGAGGAAGGUGGAAUUCCUGGUGUAGAGGUGAAAUUCGUAGAUAUCAGGAGGAACACCGGUGGCGAAGGCGACCUUCUGGCCCUAUACUGACGCUGAGACGCGAAAGCGUGGGUAGCAAACAG
rnacentral:rRNA from 1 species